rnacentral:rRNA from 1 species
GACGAACGCUGGCGGCGUGCUUAACACAUGCAAGUCGAACGGAAAGGCCCUGCUUUUGUGGGGUGCUCGAGUGGCGAACGGGUGAGUAACACGUGAGUAACCUGCCCUUGACUUUGGGAUAACUUCAGGAAACUGGGGCUAAUACCGGAUAGGAGCUCCUGCUGCAUGGUGGGGGUUGGAAAGUUUCGGCGGUUGGGGAUGGACUCGCGGCUUAUCAGCUUGUUGGUGGGGUAGUGGCUUACCAAGGCUUUGACGGGUAGCCGGCCUGAGAGGGUGACCGGCCACAUUGGGACUGAGAUACGGCCCAGACUCCUACGGGAGGCAGUAGUGGGGAAUAUUGCACAAUGGGCGGAAGCCUGAUGCAGCAACGCCGCGUGCGGGAUGGCGGCCUUCGGGUUGUAAACCGCUUUCGCCUGUGACGAAGCGUGAGUGACGGUAAUGGGUAAAGAAGCACCGGCUAACUACGUG